UUUGAGACCAUUCUUAGGGUGCUGUCACCAGGAUCCUGUUUGGAUCUGAGACUUGGAGAUCUGCAUCUGAUGAGCCUAAAUGUUGACAGAGAAUGAGAGAAAAUAGGAGCCCAGAGAACUAAAGAUGAGAUAGCUGAGAGCAUUGCCAAUAUGGAAAAGAAUCUCAUUGUCACGCAGGAAGGAUGGAGAGACCUUGGAGACUGUGGCAGAAGCAGUAUGAGAUAUUGUAACUCACGGAGGCUGUUCUGACCUGGAACAAGGCAUCCUAAUUGGCACUGCUCUUCGGCACAUCUUCAGAGCUUUGUAUUUAGCCCCCAGACCUCAAGUGCAGCAACCAAGGAUAACAGUGGCAAGCAAAGACAUCCUUGAUGUGUUUGCAGAAUGCUUACGUGCAGGCA
rnacentral:lncRNA from 1 species